UGGAAAGAGGUCAGCAUUAACAACAUGGCUUCACACGGAAGGAGAGCAUUUCCUGUGCUGGGUCACCCACGGAAAGCCUGCAUUCUGUGCUCUGGGCCCCCAGAACAACACAUCAGCUGCAGAGUGGUGCUGGCACCACGGUAUAAAGCGCACGGCCACGUUGGAUCUGUA